UUUGCAUUGGCAUAGUGGUUUGAGUGCUGGACUAUGACUCUGGAGACCAGGGUUCGAUUCCUAGCUCCACCA